rnacentral:tRNA from 1 species
GGGCUGAUGGUGUAGUUGGUUAUCACGCUCGCUUAGCAUGCGAGAGGUGCUGGGUUCAAUUCCCAGUUAGUCCA